rnacentral:misc_RNA from 1 species
GCCUUGCACAUGCUUUGUUUGGCAAAGAGGAAAGCCAGUUGAAAAUGGACUGGCAGACAAGGCAAAGGAUUUGUGUUGGCAUAGCAAAAGGUCUGGCUUUUCUGCAUGAAGAAUCUGCUUUGAAAAUUGUUCAUAGAGACAUCAAAGCUGCUAAUAUACUUCUUGAUAGGGACCUAAACCCUAAGAUUUCUGAUUUUGGUUUGGCCAAGCUUGAUGAAGAAGAGAAUACCCACAUCAGCACCAGAGUUGCUGGAACUAUAGGUUACAUGGCACCGGAAUAUGCAUUAUGGGGUUACUUAACCUAUAAGGCAGAUGUAUACAGUUUUGGGAUUGUUGCAUUGGAAAUUGUUGUUGGGAAAAGCAAUAUGAAAUAUCGACCANAUCGACCAGAUGAAAAUUUUGUCUGCCUCAUGGAUUGUGCUCUUGUUUUACAGCAAAAGGGAGACCUAAUGGAGCUGGUUGAUCCAAGAUUGGGAUCCCAAUUCAACAGGGAAGAAGCUAUUAGAAUGAUAAAAGUUGCAUUAUUAUGCACUUUUUCUUCACCUGCACUUAGACCUACAAUGUCUGAAGUAGUAAGGAUGCUUGAAGGCCGAGCUCCUGUUCCUGAAUUAGUGGUGAGUCAAGG